GACCCGUAAUCCGGGUUGCGGACAGUGUCUGGUGGGUAGUUUGACUGGGGCGGUCUCCUCCCAAAGAGUAACGGAGGAGCACGAAGGUUGGCUAAUCCUGGUCGGACAUCAGGAGGUUAGUGCAAUGGCAUAAGCCAGCUUGACUGCGAGCGUGACGGCGCGAGCAGGUGCGAAAGCAGGUCAUAGUGAUCCGGUGGUUCUGAAUGGAAGGGCCAUCGCUCAACGGAUAAAAGGUACUCCGGGGAUAACAGGCUGAUACCGCCCAAGAGUUCAUAUCGACGGCGGUGUUUGGCACCUCGAUGUCGGCUCAUCACAUCCUGGGGCUGAAGUAGGUCCCAAGGGUAUGGCUGUUCGCCAUUUAAAGUGGUACGCGAGCUGGGUUUAGAACGUCGUGAGACAGUUCGGUCCCUAUCUGCCGUGGGCGCUGGAGAAUUGAGGGGGGCUGCUCCUAGUACGAGAGGACCGGAGUGGACGCAUCACUGGUGUUCGGGUUGUCAUGCCAAUGGCACUGCCCGGUAGCUAAAUGCGGAAGAGAUAAGUGCUGAAAGCAUCUAAGCACGAAACUUGCCCCGAGAUGAGUUCUCCCUGAGAC
rnacentral:rRNA from 1 species